rnacentral:rRNA from 1 species
CUUGGUCAUUUAGAGGAAGUAAAAGUCGUAACAAGGUCUCCGUAGGUGAACCUGCGGAGGGAUCAUUACAAGAACGCCCGGGCUUCGGCCUGGUUAUUCAUAACCCUUUGUUGUCCGACUCUGUUGCCUCCGGGGCGACCCUGCCUUCGGGCGGGGGCUCCGGGUGGACACUUCAAACUCUUGCGUAACUUUGCAGUCUGAGUAAACUUAAUUAAUAAAUUAAAACUUUUAACAACGGAUCUCUUGGUUCUGGCAUCGAUGAAGAACGCAGCGAAAUGCGGUAAGUAAUGUGAAUUGCAGAAUUCAGUGAAUCAUCGAAUCUUUGAACGCACAUUGCGCCCCCUGGUAUUCCGGGGGGCAUGCCUGUUCGAGCGUCAUUUCACCACUCAAGCCUCGCUUGGUAUUGGGCAACGCGGUCCGCCGCGUGCCUCAAAUCGUCCGGCUGGGUCUUCUGUCCCCUAAGCGUUGUGGAAACUAUUCGCUAAAGGGUGUUCGGGAGGCUACGCCGUAAAACAACCCCAUUUCUAAGGUUGACCUCGGAUCAGGUAGGGAUACCCGCUGAACUUAAGCAUAUCAAUAAGCGGAGGA